UACGUAGGGGGCAAGCGUUGUCCGGAUUUAUUGGGCGUAAAGAGCGUGUAGGCGGCCAUACAGGUCCGUUGUGAAAACUCGAGGCUUAACCUCGAGACGUCGAUGGAAACCGUAUGGCUAGAGUCCGGAAGAGGAGAGUGGAAUUCCUGGUGUAGCGGUGAAAUGCGCAGAUAUCAGGAAGAACACCCGUGGCGAAGGCGGCUCUCUGGGACGGUACUGACGCUGAGACGCGAAAGCGUCGGGAGCGAACAGG
rnacentral:rRNA from 1 species